CUAAUUUGCAUCCCUUUUCCGUAAAAGGGAUGCAGUCUAGACACAGCCUUUAUCUUUCAAAGCAGUGACAAGUCUCCGUGUUAGUCUGUGUCUGCAAAAACAAUGAGGAGUCCUGUGGCACCUUAACAGAUUUAUUUUGGCAUCAGCUGUCAUAUGUACAAACCUUAUGCCCAGAUAAAUCUGUUAAUCUUUAAGGUGCCACAGGACGCCUUGUUCUUUCAAAGAUGUGUACAAGUUAACUGUAGGAGUGAUAGUUCUUUGCUGUUUGAGUGUUAUAUAUGGGGAUCCAUGUGGGCCGACUAGCAUCUUUCAAAACGAAUGGCAGCUUACCGGUCUCCUUUAUCUGCAUAGGGAAUGUGAAAGAGGGAAGGGCAAAUUGCAGUCAGGUGUCAGUAACCCCUCAUCUGCAUAUGUCUUUGUUUGGCUCAUGUCCAGACCCCACUGUGCACUACCUUAAAAAGGAGGAAGAAUUUGUACUAAAACUAAGAAAGGGUUAAUACUGUGUCCUUUCCUUCUUCCACUGUAGUUUGAGAAAACAACUAUGAAGGAUAGAAGGGGCUGCAUGCUUUAAGCAGCUUUCUUUUAAAAUACUUCAUUUAAGACCAACUUAAGCAGAGGAACUGGUUGUAUUACAGUCCUUUCUCUGUACACUUGUCCAUUUAAGAACCUCUUUACUUUUAGUUAUAUGGUGCAUAAUGAAGUUGAUGUAACUUGUUUUAUUUUGAACACCUGCACAAGCUACUGAGGGUGGAGUCUCCUGGAGGUGAUGCAGGGUUAGUUUUGCAGUUGGAACAUGGCAAAUACCACCACCAAUUUCCCUCUCCCUCCCUCCAUUUGAGCCCUUGCAGCUGCGUUGUACAUGGGUAAUGGCAUAUUGGCUAAAAUACCCCUCUCUCGGUUGUUGCAAGAUGUAGGUUGAGUGGGCUCGCUGGCUGCUUACUGCUGCCUUCCACCCCAGAACUGGCUGCGCUGGGGUUUCUUUUGGGGGAGGGGGAACGAGAGAGCAUGUGAGGCCUACUUGAAUUGAUGACUGCAAGUGGAGCGAGGGUGUCAUUUCAGUGUACUCGCAUGGAGGAGGAGGAGAAACAGGCCUGGGGCAUGAGGGAAGCCAGCCCUCAGCAGCACAGGGCGGAGCCAGAGCGGUUGUUUAGGAAAGCUUCUAGCAUAAGAGGGAAGCCAGAAGAUGCAGCUGUCUGAGAUGAACUGGGACAAUUUCCAUGCUAGGCCCUCGAGGCAGCUCACCCCAUUGGGCAAAACCAGCUAGUAGCAGUGUGGAAUCAGUGUGACGCUGGCAGGAAGCCCCCUGAAGGCAGCUGGUCAGGAAGAUGUUCUUUUUGGCCCAAAUGCCUGGCAGUCAGCCAGCUUAAUUAACUUAUUGCAGGUUGGGGGGGGGAGAAGGGGGUUAGUUAGCCCAACUUCCCAUUGGCUGUCGGGUGGCUGUGUUCAGCCAAUGGCAGGUCAGGUUGGGAUUCUGUCACAAGAGCUGCCUCGGAUGGGUCACGUUCCGUUGCCCUGGCGCCUGGAGGAGUUUCAGGUGGGGCCGGGCCCAUUGCAGGCAGGGGGGGUGCAGCCCCCGGCAUGAGGGAAACUGAAGCGGCAGAGCAGCCUGAGCUGUGUGAUCAUCACUGACUUGUUGGAUGACAAAUUUAUCAGGCUCCUCCUCCAUCGCUACAUCUGAUCUGGGCUCUUCAUCCAAUGGCCACCCAGAAAUUUUGUCUCCUACAGAGAUAGUAAGAGGAUGUUCUGUGUCUAAGUCAUCACGACUGCUUUCAAUACCUGCUUCAGUUAACAGUCAUUACAUAGUCUGUAGCGCCUUGUUCCUUGUUGAACCACAUGUCCUGUUAGAUAUAACUUUCCCAACAAUGAGGAGAUGCCAUAUGUGUAUGAAAAGCUAUUAGCUUUUUCCUGAAACGAGGGAUAAGGUCGCUCUCCUGUAUGGCAACGAAGGUGGCGCUUUAGGUCCGCUUUUCGCUUCACCACAUGGGUGCAGAAAGGGCACUUGAAUCUCAUCCUGGGCAGAUCAUCUGUUACAAAACAAUCCUAUUAAAA